UGGGGUGUAGCUCAGUGGUAGAAUGCUUGCCUAGCAUGUGCAAGGCCCUGGGUUCAAUCCCCAGCACCCCUC
rnacentral:tRNA from 1 species